rnacentral:rRNA from 3 species
GCACGCUGGCGGCGUGCCUAUACAUGCAAGUCGAACGAACUCUGGUAUUGAUUGGUGCUUGCAUCAUGAUUUACAUUUGAGUGAGUGGCGAACUGGUGAGUAACACGUGGGAAACCUGCCCAGAAGCGGGGGAUAACACCUGGAAACAGAUGCUAAUACCGCAUAACAACUUGGACCGCAUGGUCCGAGYUUGAAAGAUGGCUUCGGCUAUCACUUUUGGAUGGUCCCGCGGCGUAUUAGCUAGAUGGUGNGGUAACGGCUCACCAUGGCAAUGAUACGUAGCCGACCUGAGAGGGUAAUCGGCCACAUUGGGACUGAGACACGGCCCAAACUCCUACGGGAGGCAGCAGUAGGGAAUCUUCCACAAUGGACGAAAGUCUGAUGGAGCAACGCCGCGUGAGUGAAGAAGGGUUUCGGCUCGUAAAACUCUGUUGUUAAAGAAGAACAUAUCUGAGAGUAACUGUUCAGGUAUUGACGGUAUUUAACCAGAAAGCCACGGCUAACUACGUGCCAGCAGCCGCGGUAAUACGUAGGUGGCAAGCGUUGUCCGGAUUUAUUGGGCGUAAAGCGAGCGCAGGCGGUUUUUUAAGUCUGAUGUGAAAGCCUUCGGCUCAACCGAAGAAGUGCAUCGGAAACUGGGAAACUUGAGUGCAGAAGAGGACAGUGGAACUCCAUGUGUAGCGGUGAAAUGCGUAGAUAUAUGGAAGAACACCAGUGGCGAAGGCGGCUGUCUGGUCUGUAACUGACGCUGAGGCUCGAAAGUAUGGGUAGCAAACAGGAUUAGAUACCCUGGUAGUCCAUACCGUAAACGAUGAAUGCUAAGUGUUGGAGGGUUUCCGCCCUUCAGUGCUGCAGCUAACGCAUUAAGCAUUCCGCCUGGGGAGUACGGCCGCAAGGCUGAAACUCAAAGGAAUUGACGGGGGCCCGCACAAGCGGUGGAGCAUGUGGUUUAAUUCGAAGCUACGCGAAGAACCUUACCAGGUCUUGACAUACUAUGCAAAUCUAAGAGAUUAGACGUUCCCUUCGGGGACAUGGAUACAGGUGGUGCAUGGUUGUCGUCAGCUCGUGUCGUGAGAUGUUGGGUUAAGUCCCGCAACGAGCGCAACCCUUAUUAUCAGUUGCCAGCAUUAAGUUGGGCACUCUGGUGAGACUGCCGGUGACAAACCGGAGGAAGGUGGGGAUGACGUCAAAUCAUCAUGCCCCUUAUGACCUGGGCUACACACGUGCUACAAUGGAUGGUACAACGAGUUGCGAACUCGCGAGAGUAAGCUAAUCUCUUAAAGCCAUUCUCAGUUCGGAUUGUAGGCUGCAACUCGCCUACAUGAAGUCGGAAUCGCUAGUAAUCGCGGAUCAGCAUGCCGCGGUGAAUACGUUCCCGGGCCUUGUACACACCGCCCGUCACACCAUGAGAGUUUGUAACACCCAAAGUCGGUGGGGUAACCUUUUAGGAACCAGCCGCCUAAGGUGG